CCGGAANGAGGAGUGGCGAACGGGUGAGUAACACGUGGGUAACCUGCCCAUCAGAAGGGGAUAACACUUGGAAACAGGUGCUAAUACCGUAUAACAAUCGAAACCGCAUGGUUUUGAUUUGAAAGGCGCUUUCGGGUGUCGCUGAUGGAUGGACCCGCGGUGCAUUAGCUAGUUGGUGAGGUAACGGCUCACCAAGGCGACGAUGCAUAGCCGACCUGAGAGGGUGAUCGGCCACAUUGGGACUGAGACACGGCCCAAACUCCUACGGGAGGCAGCAGUAGGGAAUCUUCGGCAAUGGACGAAAGUCUGACCGAGCAACGCCGCGUGAGUGAAGAAGGUUUUCGGAUCGUAAAACUCUGUUGUUAGAGAAGAACAAGGAUGAGAGUAACUGUUCAUCCCUUGACGGUAUCUAACCAGAAAGCCACGGCUAACUACGUGCCAGCAGCCGCGGUAAUACGUAGGUGGCAAGCGUUGUCCGGAUUUAUUGGGCGUAAAGCGAGCGCAGGCGGUUUCUUAAGUCUGAUGUGAAAGCCCCCGGCUCAACCGGGGAGGGUCAUUGGAAACUGGGAGACUUGAGUGCAGAAGAGGAGAGUGGAAUUCCAUGUGUAGCGGUGAAAUGCGUAGAUAUAUGGAGGAACACCAGUGGCGAAGGCGGCUCUCUGGUCUGUAACUGACGCUGAGGCUCGAAAGCGUGGGGAGCAANCAGGAUUAGAUACCCUGGUAGUCCACGCCGUAANCGAUGAGUGCUAAGUGUUGGAGGGUUUCCGCCCUUCAGUGCUGCAGCUAACGCAUUAAGCACUCCGCCUGGGGAGUACGACCGCAAGGUUGAAACUCAANGGAAUUGACGGGGGCCCGCACAAGCGGUGGAGCAUGUGGUUUAAUUCGAAGCAACGCGAAGAACCUUACCAGGUCUUGACAUCCUUUGACCACUCUAGAGAUAGAGCUUCCCCUUCGGGGGCAAAGUGACAGGUGGUGCAUGGUUGUC
rnacentral:rRNA from 1 species